GCCACAGCCACAACACGGUCGGGCAGCUGCUGACGCGCUGACAAUGAGCACGCUGACUGAAGUCUUCUGCCAGGCCGA
rnacentral:tRNA from 1 species